ensembl:lncRNA
GUGUAGAUGAGGCUGGGUCUAGUCAUGUUAUAGAUGGUGGUGCAGAUGAGGCUGGGUCGAGUCAUGUUAUAGAUGGUGGUAGAUUAGAUGAGGCUGUGUCUAGUCAUGUUAUAGAUGGUGGUGUAGAUGAGGCUAGGUCUAGUCAUGUUAUGGUUGGUGGUGUAGAUGAGGCUGGGUCUCAUCAGGUUAUAGAUGGUGGUGUAGAUGAGCUGGGUCUAGUCAGGUUAUAGAUGGUGGUGUAGAUGAGGCUGUGUCUAGUCAUACUAUAGUUGGUGGUGUAGAUGAGGCUGGUUCUAGUCAUGUUAUAGAUGGUGGUGUAGAUGAGGCUAGGUCUAGUCAUGUUAUGGUUGGUGGUGUAGAUGAGGCUGGGUCUCGUCAGGUUAUAGAUGGUGGUGUAGAUGAGUCUGGGUCUAGUCAGGUUAUAGAUGGAGGUGUAGAUGAGGCUGGUUCUAGUCAUGUUAUAGAUUGGGGUGUAGAUGAGGCUGGGUCUAGUCAU